rfam:Xenopus laevis strain J chromosome 8L, whole genome shotgun sequence.
GUUGUUCGCGGGUGGAUCACGAUGCAAUUUUAUUUAAGUUUGGUAGGAGAAAAAUUGCACGGUAUCCAUCUGUAAACCGCA